rnacentral:tRNA from 1 species
GGAGAGAUGGCUUGGUGGUUAAGAGCACUGGGAUGCUCUUCCAGAGGACCUGGGUUCAAUUCCCAGCACCC